GAAGAACAAGAAAUUGAAGGACAGCCAUCAAUUGGGGAGUGGCUAAACAAGUUGUGGCAUAUGAUUGUGCUGGAAUACUACUAUGUUAGAUGGAAAAAAAAACCCUGAGGCCCCAACUGAUUAAGUGAUUUGUCUAAGGAAACAAAGUAAAAAGUAACAGAGCCAGAAUCCAAACCCAGCUCUAGAUUCCAGAUUGAAGACUCUCUCCAUUGUUCUACAAGGACUAAACAAAUGCAAUGAUAUAUAAGGUAGAAGAACCAAUCAGCAGUUAAUGAUCUUCCCCGAAAAGAUCUUACCUUUAUGAGGACAGAGGACCAGCUGCCUUCUUGCAUAUUUACUCUGUAUAUAGCCGGUGCUCAAUGUCAAGGAAAAAGCUCAAGGAACAUCAUCUACAAAGACCACUGGGCCAGUUAGUUUUAAACUAAGCAGACAGCCAGCCCGCAGUUGGAGCCAGGAGUAAAAUAUUUCAGACUCCACAGAAGCCGACUGCCCCUGGCAGCCUAGUUCAGCAUGCCUCUGGAGCCAAUCCACAGGAAAUCCGUGGUGUCAGCUGGCUAGGAGAUGCUACUAACCGUCCAACAUUUCCUGGAUCCCCUGCAUAGUCUCUCUUCAGAAACAGAAAGAAAAAGGAGGAAUAGAAAAAAAGAGCACUGGGGACUUCUGAGGCAGUGAUGGAGUCUAUAUUGGCACAAAUGAAUUCUGCCUAAUUAAAUAAAAAACAUGAAGAUUUCUGAUCA
rnacentral:lncRNA from 1 species